rnacentral:rRNA from 1 species
AUGAACGCUAGCUACAGGCUUAACACAUGCAAGUCGAGGGGCAGCAUGGUCUUAGCUUGCUAAGGCCGAUGGCGACCGGCGCACGGGUGAGUAACACGUAUCCAACCUGCCGUCUACUCUUGGACAGCCUUCUGAAAGGAAGAUUAAUACAAGAUGGCAUCAUGAGUCCGCAUGUUCACAUGAUUAAAGGUAUUCCGGUAGACGAUGGGGAUGCGUUCCAUUAGAUAGUAGGCGGGGUAACGGCCCACCUAGUCUUCGAUGGAUAGGGGUUCUGAGAGGAAGGUCCCCCACAUUGGAACUGAGACACGGUCCAAACUCCUACGGGAGGCAGCAGUGAGGAAUAUUGGUCAAUGGGCGAGAGCCUGAACCAGCCAAGUAGCGUGAAGGAUGACUGCCCUAUGGGUUGUAAACUUCUUUUAUAAAGGAAUAAAGUCGGGUAUGGAUACCCGUUUGCAUGUACUUUAUGAAUAAGGAUCGGCUAACUCCGUGCCAGCAGCCGCGGUAAUACGGAGGAUCCGAGCGUUAUCCGGAUUUAUUGGGUUUAAAGGGAGCGUAGAUGGAUAUUUAAGUCAGUUGUGAAAGUUUGCGGCUCAACCGUAAAAUUGCAGUUGAUACUGGAUAUCUUGAGUGCAGUUGAGGCAGGCGGAAUUCGUGGUGUAGCGGUGAAAUGCUUAGAUAUCACGAAGAACUCCGAUUGCGAAGGCAGCCUGCUAAGCUGCAACUGACAUUGAGGCUCGAAAGUGUGGGUAUCAAACAGGAUUAGAUACCCUGGUAGUCCACACGGUAAACGAUGAAUACUCGCUGUUUGCGAUAUACUGCAAGCGGCCAAGCGAAAGCGUUAAGUAUUCCACCUGGGGAGUACGCCGGCAACGGUGAAACUCAAAGGAAUUGACGGGGGCCCGCACAAGCGGAGGAACAUGUGGUUUAAUUCGAUGAUACGCGAGGAACCUUACCCGGGCUUAAAUUGCAGAUGAUUUACGGUGAAAGCCGUAAGCCGCAAGGCAUCUGUGAAGGUGCUGCAUGGUUGUCGUCAGCUCGUGCCGUGAGGUGUCGGCUUAAGUGCCAUAACGAGCGCAACCCUUGUUGUCAGUUACUAACAGGUUCCGCUGAGGACUCUGACAAGACUGCCAUCGUAAGAUGUGAGGAAGGUGGGGAUGACGUCAAAUCAGCACGGCCCUUACGUCCGGGGCUACACACGUGUUACAAUGGGGGGUACAGAGGGCCGCUACCACGCGAGUGGAUGCCAAUCCCCAAAACCUCUCUCAGUUCGGACUGGAGUCUGCAACCCGACUCCACGAAGCUGGAUUCGCUAGUAAUCGCGCAUCGGCCACGGCGCGGUGAAUACGUUCCCGGGCCUUGUACACACCGCCCGUCAAGCCAUGGGAGCCGGGGGUACCUGAAGUGCGUAACCGCGAGGAGCGCCCUAGGGUAAAACUGGUGACUGGGGCU